rnacentral:tRNA from 1 species
GGUGAGAUGGCCGAGUUGGUUAUGGCGCCAGGUUAAGGUUACCUUAACACAUAUUCCUGGUCACGAAAGUGGCGUGGGUUCGAGUCCCACUCUCAUCA